rnacentral:tRNA from 1 species
AGUGGCUUAGUGUUUGGCUGCUAACCAAAAGGUUGGCAGUUCAAAUCCACCAGCCACUC